rnacentral:rRNA from 1 species
AGAGAGAGACAUGCGCGCAUAUCAAUAAGCGGAGGAAAAGAAACUAACAAGGAUUCCCUUAGUAACGGCGAGUGAAGCGGGAAGAGCUCAAAUUUGAAAUCUUCAAGGUUUUACCUUGACGAAUUGUAGUUUAAAGAAGUGUUUUUCUGCUGAAGUUUUGGUAAAAGUUCUUUGGAAUAGGACAUCAUAGAGGGUGAGAAUCCCGUAUUUGACCAUUAUUUUCAGCUUUGUGAUACACUUUCAAAGAGUCGGAUUGUUUGGGAAUGCAGUCCAAAAUGGGUGGUAAAUUUCAUCUAAAGCUAAAUAUUGGCGAGAGACCGAUAGCGAACAAGUACCGUGAGGGAAAGAUGAAAAGAACUUUGAAAAGAGAGUUAAACAGUACGUGAAAUUGUCAAAAGGGAAGCGUUUGACACCAGUGUUGUUUUCUCGAAAAUCAAUUAAAAAUGGCUCGAUUUUGUAUUGUUGAGACCUUAAAAGCUCACUGUACAUUUUUCGUGUCUUUUUUAAUGCACUUUUCGUUUAACAAGUCAACAUCAGUUUCUUUUGUUGUAAAAGGGUCAUUGGAAGGUGGCUUUCUUUUCGGAGAAAGUGUUUAUAGCCUUUGGCCUCUGCAAUCGAAGAGACUGAGGUCUGCAGCGUAGACUCUUCGGGGUUAGAUACAUUUGUGCUAAGUUAUAGCUUUUUAUAGACAACUUGUUGACUAUAAUUAGUCUUGUAGCUUACUCGCUUAUGCUAUUUUACCUACGCUUAGGAUGUUGAAGAUGUAGCACAUCAU